rnacentral:rRNA from 1 species
UACGAAGGGGGCUAGCGUUGCUCGGAAUCACUGGGCGUAAAGGGUGCGUAGGCGGGUCUUUAAGUCAGGGGUGAAAUCCUGGAGCUCAACUCCAGAACUGCCUUUGAUCCUGAGGAUCUUGAGUUCGGGAGAGGUGAGUGGAACUGCGAGUGUAGAGGUGAAAUUCGUAGAUAUUCGCAAGAACACCAGUGGCGAAGGCGGCUCACUGGCCCGAUACUGACGCUGAGGCACGAAAGCGUGGGGAGCAAACAGG